GUCGGUUAUGGAGACAUCUACCCACAAACCCUGCUGGGCAAGAUUGUAGGAGGACUCUGCUGCAUAGCAGGUGUGUUGGUCAUCGCCCUUCCCAUCCCAAUCAUCGUUAACAAC